rnacentral:misc_RNA from 1 species
UCUAGACGGCAAACUGGACCAGUAAUAGCCCUGUGAAGGGAUCUUUUGACAGCCGAUUUCCAAGCAAAAGGAAAUGAGCCUCCCCAACCAAAACUCCUUGCCAGAUCAUUGCCUGUACCCAGAGGAAUGAUUCCUACGGGAGGAAUUGGCUCCCUCCCCUGUCUGUUAAGUGAUGCAAGACUCCCCAGUAUCCAACCAACUGUACCAUCACCUCCUGCAACCAUAAUUCUCAUCUUUUCUCGAGUAUCUCUGGCACAAAAAUCACCAAGGGCAGCCAACUUCUCUAGGCAGACUAGCCCAAAUUCCACAAAUUCGGGAGGCUUCACGUCAAAGAGAUCAAAAACCUGUUCUUCGCCCAUUAACUGCUGAAGCCGUUCCUUGAGUUCAGGUCCAUGGCGGCCGCCACUCCUAGAAUUGACAAAAACGACCAUGGGGCCCUCAGGAGCCUCCUCAUGGGCGUAAAGUUCACCGGUAUUGAAGUAACGCUCGGCUUCACCGACGGGGUCUUUGGACUUGAUGGAAUCACCAAUUGCGUGACGCAGAUACUCCGGAAUCAGCAGUUUCCUCCUCAAGCUCUCCUUAUCGAUUCGGACCCCCGACAAGCCGCACCCACGGAUCGACUCAAUCAUCGACGAUCGCGCCGGCACGAUCCGAGCCGACGAUCCUCCGGUCGACGUCGGCGAGUCCAUUUCUAAUACUACCCCUCAGUCUCCACAAAGCCAAGUGCUGUAAUGGCUUCGGUUCGGUAUGCGUUUGAAUUGCAACUGAAAAUUUUACGAUUUUUUGCACGAGAAAUGGAGAAAAUGAUUGCAGCAGUUUUCUU